GGCGGCGGCGGCGGCGGCGGCGGGGCGGGGGCGGCCUGGGACGCGGCGGGAGCAUGGAGCCGCGCGCCGGCUGCCGGCUGCCCGUGCGGGUGGAGCAGGUCGUCAACGGCGCGCUGGUGGUCACCGUGAGCUGCGGGGAGCGCAGCUUCGCCGGGAUCCUGCUGGACUGCACGAAGAAGUCCGGCCUCUUUGGCCUACCUCCCUCGGCUCCACUGCCCCAGGCCGAUGACACCCCCGCCAGCAGCAGCCGUGGCCAGGCCCCUGAGGAGGGGGAAGCAGAGGUGAUGCAGCUGGGGCCCGACUCCCCGCCUCCUCCCCAAGGGGUCCAGUCCCCUGAGACAGCUGGCCCUGAGCCACCCCCGCCCCUCGUACCGCCGCUGCCCGCCGGAAGCCUGCCCCCAUACCCGCCGUACUUCGAAGGCGCCCCCUUCCCUCACCCGCUGUGGCUCCGGAACACGUACAAGCAGUGGGUGCCUCAGCCACCGCCCAGGACCAUCAAGCGCACCCGGCGGCGUCUGUCCCGCAACCGAGACCCGGGGCGCCUCAUCCUGAGCACCAUCCGCCUGCGGCCACGCCAGGUGUUGUGUGAGAAGUGCAAGAGCACGCUGAGCCCCCCAGAGGCCAGCCCCGGACCCCCGGCCGCACCCAGGGCCCGCAGGAGGCUGGGCAGUGGCCCAGACAGGGAGCUCCACAAGCCGGAGGAGCUGGAGAGCAGUGACCCCGUGGCUGCAGCCACCGCCAGGAGGAGCAAGAGGGAGAGGCGGGAGGAGGACAGGGCCCCUGCCGAGCAGGUGCCCCGAAGCCCGGUCAUUAAGAUCUCCUACAGCACGCCCCAGGGCAAGGGCGAGGUGGUCAAGAUCCCCUCCCGUGUGCACGGCUCUCUGGAGCCCUUCUGCCCCCAGCAGGCCCCAGAGGAUGAGGGCAGCCAGGACCCCGAGGUGCCAGACAGAGAGCUCCGGGACCGGCCGCCCAGCGCACCCUCGGCCUCCAUCCCCAAGCUGAAACUGACGCGGCCUGUGCUGCCCAGCACAGACCUGCCGCCCCCCAAGAUCCGCCUGAAGCCCCACCGCCUGGGGGACAGUGAGCACGAGCCCGUGUACCGUGCCGAGCUGGUGGAGGAGCUGAAUGGGUGCCCACGGGCCAGCUCGCCCAUGCCCUGUGCGGACGGCCCUGCCACUGGGCUGGCGGACUUGUCUUCCGGAAGUUCGGGUGAGGACGACGACCUCAAGAGCUGUCCCCAAGGUCCACAGGGACGCGGUGGCCUGGCUUUUCUUGUCAGCUGCCCGGAGGGGAGAGCGGACUGUGCCAGUGAGUUGGCGUGCAGCAGCGACAGCCUGGACGAGGCCAGAUCAUCCGGCUCAGAAGGGACGUCUGCAGACGCAGGCGACCUGUCGCCCAGCCACGGCGCGUCGGCGCCCUCCUCGUCCAGAGAGGUUCGCCCAACGGUGCCGCCCCUGACGGUGCGGCUGCACACGCAGAGCGUGUCCGAGUGCAUCACAGAGGACGGCAGGACUGUGGCCGUGGGGGACAUCGUGUGGGGUAAGAUCCAUGGUUUUCCUUGGUGGCCGGCGCGCGUUCUCGGCAUCAGCCUUGGCCAGAAGGAGGAUGGUGAGCCCUCUUGGCGAGAAGCGAAGGUCUCGUGGUUUGGUUCUCCGACUACGUCAUUCUUGUCUAUUUCAAAACUCUCCCCUUUCUCUGAAUUUUUCAAACUGAGAUUUAACCGUAAGAAGAAGGGGAUGUAUCGGAAAGCUAUAACCGAGGCUGCCAAUGCCGCGAGACACGUGGCCCCGGAAAUCAGGGAGCUCUUAACCCAGUUUGAAACGUAACUGGUUCCCUGACCAGGAACUGCUGAGAAGGAAGGGAAGAGGGCCUUGAAGCACAGCGUCCAGCGAGAAACCUGGCCUGGACUGGGAUCUGGGAAGGCUUCCUGGAGGAGGUGGCAGGAGCCAGGAUCUGAAUGGUCAGCGACGAUGAGGGUGCACCUGCCGUCCUGGAGCUGCCGGCCUCCUUCCAGGGACUCCUCCAGCCUUCCGGCCGGCUGCGGGCAGAGCCCACUGGGCAUGGUGGUCGGCCUGACGUGAGGCCCCCGGGACCAGCGGUGUGUCCAGGGAGGGGAUGACCCUGAGCCCAGCGGCUCCUCCCGCUGAGGAUGUUUCUUCCCGCCACUCAGCCUGUGGCUGCCCUGGCUCAGGAGGCAGCCGGAACUCGUGACAUGCUGGCUGCUGCUGCUGCCUGGUGGGCUGGGGUCCCGUGGAGGAAGUGGGCCUGCCGCCCCAGCCUUGCCUGCUGCCUUGCACACUGAGGACCCGUGGGGGAGCCAGGCCUGGCACCCCAGCCUCACCCAGCUGCUGGUGUGGGCGGCUGUGCCCCACCUCAGGGUCCCAGACACAGGCAUCUCGCAGGCUCAGCUUGGUCUCCUUCAGGCUUCAGAAAAUCCCAAUUGCACGUGUGGGGUUCUUCCCCAGCCCUCAGGUGCGGGGUCUCUGUGCACCGCCCGCCGUCUCCCGCUCCCAGUUCAUCCCAGAUGGUGGGUCCCACUGGCACCCGGCACCCGGCCUGCAAGGCCACCUGUCCCCCAGAUGCUGCUACAAGUGACCAGUACUGUGUGGAGGAGGCGAAGGGCCCCCCCAGGAAACCGGGCUUCAACAGUGAAAG